rnacentral:rRNA from 1 species
AAUACGACCGUACCGCAAACCGACACUGGUGCGCGAGAUGAGUAUUCUAAGGCGCUUGAGAGAACUCAGGAGAAGGAACUCGGCAAAUUGACACCGUAACUUCGGAAGAAGGUGUGCCCUAUUAGUGUGUAGUGAACAACGAAGCAUGAAUGGGUUGCAAAAAAUCGGUGGCUGCGACUGUUUAUUAAAAACACAGCACUCUGCAAACACGAAAGUGGACGUAUAGGGUGUGACGCCUGCCCGGUGCUGGAAGAUUAAAUGAUGGGGUGCAAGCUCUUGAUUGAAGUCCCAGUAAACGGCGGCCGUAACAAUAACGGUCCUAAGGUAGCGAAAUUCCUUGUCGGGUAAGUUCCGACCUGCACGAAUGGCGUAACGAUGGCCACACUGUCUCCUCCUGAGACUCAGCGAAGUUGAAAUGUUUGUGAUGAUGCAAUCUCCCCGCGGAAAGACGGAAAGACCCCAUGAACCUUUACUGUAGCUUUGUAUUGGACUUUGAACAGAUCUGUGUAGGAUAGGUGGGAGGCUUUGAAGCAGGGUCGCUAGAUCUUGUGGAGCCAACGUUGAAAUACCACCCCGGUGUGUUUGAGGUUCUAACCUAGGUCCAUUAUCUGGAUCGGGGACAGUGCAUGGUAGGCAGUUUGACUGGGGCGGUCUCCUCCCAAAGCGUAACGGAGGAGUUCGAAGGUACGCUAGUUACGGUCGGACAUCGUGACGAUAGUGCAACGGCAUAAGCGUGCUUAACUGCGAGACUGACAAGUCGAGCAGAUGCGAAAGCAGGACAUAGUGAUCCGGUGGUUCUGUAUGGAAGGGCCAUCGCUCAACGGAUAAAAGGUACUCUGGGGAUAACAGGCUGAUACCGCCCAAGAGUUCAUAUCGACGGCGGUGUUUGGCACCUCGAUGUCGGCUCAUCUCAUCCUGGGGCUGUAGCCGGUCCCAAGGGUAUGGCUGUUCGCCAUUUAAAGAGGUACGUGAGCUGGGUUUAAAACGUCGUGAGACAGUUUGGUCCCUAUCUUCCGUGGGCGCUGCAGAUUUGAGGAAGCCUGCUCCUAGUACGAGAGGACCGGAGUGGACACACCUCUGGUGUAUCGGUUGUCACGCCAGUGGCAUUGCCGAGUAGCUAAGUGUGGAAGAGAUAACCGCUGAAAGCAUCUAAGCGGGAAACUCGUUUCAAGAUGAGAUCUGCCGGGGCCUUGAGCCCCCUAAAGAGUCGUUCAAGACCAGGACGUUGAUAGGUCAGGUGUGGAAGCUAA